UUAUUUAGAGAGUUUGAUCCUGGCUCAGGACGAACGCUGGCGGCGUGCCUAACACAUGCAAGUCGAACGGAGCUUACUUAUCAGAUCCCUUCGGGGUGACGAUUUUUAAGCUUAGUGGCGGACGGGUGAGUAACGCGUGAGUAACCUGCCUUACAGAGGGGGACAACAGUUGGAAACGACUGCUAAUACCGCAUAACAUAUUUUGAGGGCAUCCUCGAGAUAUCAAAGGAGCAAUCCGCUGUAAGAUGGACUCGCGUCCAAUUAGAUAGUUGGUGGGGUAACGGCCCACCAAGUCGACGAUUGGUAGCCGGACUGAGAGGUUGAAC
rnacentral:rRNA from 1 species